AUUGAACGCUAGCGGGAUGCUUUACACAUGCAAGUCGAACGGAGUGGCGGACGGGUGAGUAAUAUAUCGGAACGUGCCACAUAGCGGGGGAUAACUAAUCGAAAUCGUGGCUAAUACCGCAUACUAUUAGAGCCGCCGAUAUCGGAUUAGCUAGUUGGUGGGGUAAAGGUUCACCAGGGCAACGAUCCGUAGCUGGUUUGAGAGGACGACCAGCAACACUGGGACUGAGCACAGGCCCAGACUCCUACGGGAGGCAGCAGUGGGGAAUUUUGGACAAUGGGGGAAACCCUGAUCCAGCCAUCCCGCGUGUACGAUGAAGGCCUUCGGGUUGUAAAGUACUUUUGGCAGAGAAGCGGUAUCUGCAGAAUAAGCACCGGCUAACUACGUGCCAGCCGCCGCGGUAAUAC
rnacentral:rRNA from 1 species